rfam:Pan troglodytes isolate Yerkes chimp pedigree #C0471 (Clint) chromosome 16, whole genome shotgun sequence.
GUGAGGCAUGGUGGUGCAUGCCUGUAGUCCCAGCUACUUGGGAGGCUGAGGCUGGAGGAUUGCUUGAGCUCAGGAGUUUGAGGAUGCAGUGAGGAGUGCACCACUGCACUUCAGCAUGGGCAACAGAGUGAGACCCUGUCUCUU